UUUAUAAAAUUGUCAGUUCACCUUAAGAUCUAAUAGUCCUUUCCAAUUAGCAACAACUUAAUUCAGACUACCUCAAAAGAAUAAUUUAACAUUUAUUUUUGUAGGAAAAAAACAAUUUUAAAAUAGCCUGGGAAAAUUUAGGUAAGUUUUCCUUAAUCUUGACUCUUAAUUUGUGGCUAGAAGUGGUAAUGAUAUGAACAUAAGUUGUGUUAUUUAUUAACAUAUUGCUUUUCAUAAAUCAGUCCCUUUUUUGUAAUUAGGUAAAAAGAGAAAAGAAAGACAUUCUUGAUUUUGGUGACUAGAGUUGUAGAUGCUGGAAAGCUUUGCCACUAAAACUGACAAACCAGAUGCUCGUCACUGGCCAAUCACGCUGAUUCUUAAUGCCAUAAGGCACCAUGGCCCAGCACUGUCACCUUUUCCAAGGAACCUGCUGGAGCUCCUGUGGAAGCUGCUCCUUGGGCCGAUGAAAUCCCUUAGCUGGUAGGACCUUCUUUAGUCACCACAGGAUGCCUGCCAUUCAUGAACAGGAAGGAGAGGAUGGGCUUUGAAUAAAAAACAGGAUCCGGAAAAUAUUUGUGAGGCCACUUGGACUUCAGUGUGAAAUAAAUAUUUUCUGGCUUUGGGAGGUGUCCCUCUUGGUGGAACACAGAAUAUCCAGCCACUGGUGCACAGCCAUUGCCACUUGUGCCCCCACGGGAUCUUGUCAACUCCAGUAUGUCCCCUCAGCACUGUGUUAUCUGGCAUAAUAAAUGUAGUUGGGCUGUAGUUGUAGUGAGUCCUCC